rnacentral:rRNA from 1 species
GAUGAACGCUAGCUACAGGCUUAACACAUGCAAGUCGAGGGGUAACGAGAGGAAAGCUUGCUUUCCUUGUCGACGACCGGCGCACGGGUGAGUAACGCGUAUCCAACCUGCCCCCAACCAGGGAAUAACCUUGCGAAAGUAAGACUAAUACCCUAUAAUUUCCUCAGAUGUCAUCUGACGAGGAAUAAAGAUUUAUCGGUUGUGGAUGGGGAUGCGUCUGAUUAGCUUGUUGGCGGGGUAACGGCCCACCAAGGCAACGAUUAGUAGGGGUUCUGCGAGGAAGGUCCCACACAUUGGAACUGAGACACGGUCCAAACUCCUACGGGAGGCAGCAGUGAGGAAUAUUGGUCAAUGGGCGGAAGCCUGAACCAGCCAAGUAGCGUGCAGGAUGACGGCCCUAUGGGUUGUAAACUGCUUUUAUACAGGAAUAAAGUUAGCCACGUGUGGUUAUUUGUAGGUACUGUAUGAAUAAGGACCGGCUAAUUCCGUGCCAGCAGCCGCGGUAA